CACAAAAACACAAACCGGGUCACACAAACCGAGGCAACAGAACCUGAUUUAUCUGACGAGACGUCAGGACCGAUAUCAGCUACGUUUAUGACGAUAAACCAGAUAUUUCUGACAAGACCUCGAGACAUUCUGGGCAGUUUUCAGCAGUUUUCUAAACUAAGUUCUUUACUUUCCUUCACAAGAAGGAGCUCCAGGUGUUCGCAGCAGGAUAACGAGAAGUGUUCCAGGUCCGAUCAGUUGUGUGCAGCGAGUCGACUGAUGCGUUCAGGCUGAGCGUUUCCUCGAACACAUGCAGGCGAGCGGAGUUGUUGAGAGGAAGACGUGGGUUAAAAACUGAAAACCACACUGUGAAAAACAGAUCAGCCUCCACACGAGCUCCUCUACAGACUCACAUCCACCUCUCAGCAGAUAAAGAAACGUUUGUGGCUUCGCUGUUUUGAUUUCUCCACAUUCAGCUUGUUUCAGAUCUUGGAAACACGCAAGUGGAGAAGAAAACGAAACAAAAACUGCAGGAAUUCACUGAUUUCUUCUCAUAUCUCACAAAAAUGAUGAUCAGCAUUCAGAUUUGGUGUUUUUUUUUCUGACGUUGAUGUAAAACCUUGAAAAUAUUUGAUGAUAUUUGAAAACGUGCAAUCAAUUAAAAACACGUGAAACAUAUAAAAAGGCUGAAACGUGACUGUGAGGUUCUAGAAUCUCGUCCUGGUGCAUCAGCCCUCCAAAGAUCCAUGUUUUCCACAGGAAUAAUCAGAUUUACACUUCGCUGCUUCGUUAUCUGCGUCUUCAUACUCAUCUACGUUGACGCCUGCUCACAACAUUAACAAAGUAAAAUGACAUUUUGACCUCAAAGAAUCAUAAAAAGCAUCAUUUGUGUUUGAGCAACGAGUAAACUCAAAGUAAAAGACGUGAGACGGCUUCCGAUUCAAACAUCUGGACUCCAACAAGCCAUCAGAGUGUAGAGCUCGUCAGUCGUCUGUCAGCUGCUCACGUGCAGACGGUGUGCAUGACGGUGAAACGGACCACGUGAACAGAACGUGGGCGGGUUUAAAGGUCCGGUGUGCAGACUGCAGACGGCCGAGCAACCCGUGUCGAACCCACAAAACCCUGAAUCAACCUCUCUGGGUUUGGACUCGACAGCACCGAGAUUCCCAGUUUAAGGUUAGUGU